UAAUACUGUUAUAACUUGUUUAAACGUUAAUACUGUAACCGCACUGGGUGGGGUAAACAUUUUGACGUACAUGGCGUAAAUGUAGAAACACUGGACACAACUAUGGGGUACUGUUGUGCAGCAGUAAGCAUCACAACAGAGAAAAGAACCUCAUGGUUAAUCCAGGUUAAUGUGUGCAAAUGUAUAGGGCCCCAUUCCUAUAUUUUGCCUGGGGCCCCUAAAUCACUAAAUCCACCCUGGUCAUACAGUCUUCUUUUGCAUCAAGAAAUGUCAUUUUAACAGCACACCAUCUCUCGACUCCUAGUUUCCCAGAUGGAUCCACUGUAACAUUUGAGUGUGUGAUUGGACACAAGCCAGUUGACUUAAAAGCAUCUAAAUCAGUUACCUGUCAGGGAAACCAGUGGACAAAUCUGGAACUCAAUUGCGCAAUGUUUAAAGAGCACCAAUUCUAAACCAGUCAAUAUCUUGCGGAUUUUCUUUAUGGAAGAUAUGAAAUGACUGGAAAUUUAUUUGGUGACACAGCUAAACCAGUUUGUGACAAAGGAUACAUGUUAGCUAAUCAGGAAACAAGAACAUGCCAAGAUCUGGGAUGGGAUGGCAAAGAUCCUGUCUGUAAACGU